GCAGUUGAUCUUUUUCUUUCGAUCGAAUUCAGCAUCAGUCAACUUGGGACUUCGAGGGUGCUAUCUUUCUUUUGUUUUUUCUUUUUUUUGAUUUUGCUUUUGAUUUUGCUUUCUUUUGAUUUCUUUUGAUUUCUUUUUUUUUGAUAAUGCCCCAGUUGGCUAUUCUGCUGAUUCUCGAGAUGCAGCUGAGUGUGAUCUUCUUUUCUUGCUCAAGAAGUCGGGAAAUC
rnacentral:lncRNA from 1 species